UGGCAGUUAAAGAACAGAGACGGAGCACUAAGACUGCAUGGCUACAUUUUCCCAGUGCCACCAACUGGGAGUUAAGCUGACUAACAUUUUCAAAGCCCAACCCAUUUCCUUCACAGCAGGCAUGGUAGG
rnacentral:lncRNA from 1 species